rnacentral:tRNA from 1 species
GGUGGGGUGACUGAGCGGUUGAAGGUGGCAGUCUUGAAAACUGUUGUGUCAGUAAUGGCACCGUGGGUUCGAAUCCCACCCCCACCGC